rnacentral:lncRNA from 1 species
UGAGUAUCAUGUAUGAUAUUACGAUGAUGAAGAGUUUGUUAUUAGUUAUGAGCAUAUAAGUUAUGAGCAUGAUAUAUGUGUUUGGCAUAAUUUCGUGAAUCUCUUGGAGAUAUUCUAUGGUGGUAUUUUAUUAGUGUAAGCAUUGAUGUGAGAGUUCAAACGUUAGAGGUUAUCCUGUCGCUCUAAUGACCAUUCAAGCUCAGGUUCAAUAGAAUAGGAUAUGUGGUGAGAGAUGUAAGAUGUCCUAGUCUAAUGGCUUUACCUUGACCAAGGUGUUAAUGAACUAACUUUGUGUGGUAAGGUGAAAUUCAUUGACAAUGAUUAUGUAGAGUAGUAAAGGCCUUUACAAAUACACGACCCCGCG